AAGUCGUAACAAGGUAUCCGUAGGUGAACCUGCGGAUGGAUCAUUAACGUAGUAAUAAUGCAAAUUAUUAUAAAACAUAUGUUAACCCUUGUGGUGAAAUAGUUUGUUGUUGUUUGGUAAAGAAAUGUGUGUGUGUGUUUUGUAUAAUGUUUAAUGUAUAGUAAUAUAUAUUAUACAUUAUACAUAUAUAGUGCACGCACGCAUGAUUUGCCAACAUCAUUUAUAAAACCUUUUUAUUACAUUGUACUAAUGCUAUCUUGUGAUGAGAUUAGGGGCAACUCUAUGAUUAUACCAAGUAAAACAAUUAUAACCAAAUACAAUUGCUAGCAACGGAUCACUCGGCUCUC
rnacentral:misc_RNA from 1 species